rnacentral:rRNA from 1 species
GAACGGGUGAGUAACACGUGGGUGAUCUGCCCUGCACUUUGGGAUAAGCCUGGGAAACUGGGUCUAAUACCGAAUAGGACCACGCGCUUCAUGGUGUGUGGUGGAAAGCUUUUGCGGUGUGGGAUGGGCCCGCGGCCUAUCAGCUUGUUGGUGGGGUAAUGGCCUACCAAGGCGACGACGGGUAGCCGGCCUGAGAGGGUGACCGGCCACACUGGGACUGAGAUACGGCCCAGACUCCUACGGGAGGCAGCAGUGGGGAAUAUUGCACAAUGGGCGCAAGCCUGAUGCAGCGACGCCGCGUGAGGGAUGACGGCCUUCGGGUUGUAAACCUCUUUCAAUAGGGACGAAGCGCAAGUGACGGUACCUAUAGAAGAAGCACCGGCCAACUACGUGCCAGCAGCCGCGGUAAUACGUAGGGUGCGAGCGUUGUCCGGAAUUACUGGGCGUAAAGAGCUCGUAGGUGGUUUGUCGCGUUGUUCGUGAAAACUCACAGCUUAACUGUGGGCGUGCGGGCGAUACGGGCAGACUAGAGUACUGCAGGGGAGACUGGAAUUCCUGGUGUAGCGGUGGAAUGCGCAGAUAUCAGGAGGAACACCGGUGGCGAAGGCGGGUCUCUGGGCAGUAACUGACGCUG